rnacentral:rRNA from 1 species
UACGGGUAGGUGGCAAGUCGUUGUCCGGAUUUACUGGGGCGUAAAGGGCGUGCAGGCGGUCUGUUAAGUCCUAGGGGUGAAAAGCUCCCGGGCUCAACUGGGAGAGGUCCUUGGAUACUGGCGGACUUGAGGGAUGCAGAGGAAAGUGGAAUUCCCGGUGUAGUGGUGAUAUGCGUAGAUAUCGAGGAAGACACCAGGUGGCGAAAGGCGGCU